GACGAACGCUGGCGGCGUGCUUAACACAUGCAAGUCGAACGGAAAGGCCCUGCUUUUGUGGGGUUCUCGAUUGGCGAACGGGUGAGUAACACGUGAGUAACCUGCCCUUGACUUUGGGAUAACUUCAGGAAACUGGGGCUAAUACCGGAUAUGAUCUCCUGCUGCAUGUUGGGGGUUGGAAAGUUUCGGCGGUUGUGGAUGGACUCGCGGCUUAUCAGCUUGUUGGUGGGGUAGUGGCUUACCAAGGCUUUGACGGGUAGCCGGCCUGGGAGGGUGACCGGGCACAUUGGGACUGCGAUACGGACCAGAAUCCUACGGGACGCAGCAGUGGGGAAUAUUGCACAAUGGGCGGAAGCCUGAUGCAGCAACGCCGCGUGCGGGAUGACGGCCUUCGGGUUGUAAACCGCUUUCGCAUGUGCCGAAGCGGGAGUGACGGUAAUGGGUAAAGAAGCACCGGCUAACUACGUG
rnacentral:rRNA from 1 species